rnacentral:misc_RNA from 1 species
UUCUUUCUUUCUAAAAAAUCAACAAAAACACAUAGCAUACACCAUAUAUGGCUACAUUAGAAAAAACCAAGACACGUAAACCUCAAUACCUCAGCUAUCUUUAAGUUGGAAUUAGAUUCUUUCGUUUACUUAAUGAUAAGUUAGCAGCAACUAUAUUAUGAAGGUAAUGAACAAACAAUUCUUAUAGUAAAGUGAGAUUGCUCUGAAACCCUGCGUUCUUCGUUCAAGUUGAAUUUGCUUUUCUAAUGGCUAAUUUGCACAAGAGCAGGUGAAAGAGAGAGAAAGACAGGGACUGAAAUAUGAAAUGGAUACCUCCAAAAAUCCAUCAGUAUCA